UGGGGAAUAUUGGACAAUGGGCGCAAGCCUGAUCCAGCCAUGCCGCGUGAGUGAUGAAGGCCUUAGGGUUGUAAAGCUCUUUCGCCGGUGAAGAUAAUGACGGUAACCGGAGAAGAAGCCCCGGCUAACUUCGUGCCAGCAGCCGCGGUAAUACGAAGGGGGCUAGCGUUGCUCGGAAUCACUGGGCGUAAAGCGCACGUAGGCGGAUCGUUAAGUCAGGGGUGAAAUCCUGGAGCUCAACUCCAGAACUGCCCUUGAUACUGGCGAUCUCGAGUUCGAGAGAGGUUGGUGGAACUCCGAGUGUAGAGGUGAAAUUCGUAGAUAUUCGGAAGGACACCAGUGGCGAAGGCGGCCAACUGGCUCGAUACUGACGCUGAGGUGCGAAAGCGUGGGGAGCAAAACAGGAUUAGAUACCCUGGUAGUCCACGCCGUAAACGAUGGAUGCUAGCCGUUGGGGGGUUUACCUCUCAGUGGCGCAGCUAACGCCUUAAGCAUCUCGCCUGGGGAGUACGGUCGCAAGAUUAAAACUCAAAUGAAUUGACGGGGUCAUAGCUGUUUCCU
rnacentral:rRNA from 1 species